GUUUAGUAGUUAUAGGUUUAGUAUCUAUAGGUUUAGUAGUUAUAAGUUUUGAAUCUAUAGGUUUAGUAUCUAUACAUUUAGUGGUUAAAGGUUUAGUAUCUAUAGGUUUAGCAUCAAUAGGUUUAGUAGUUAGAGAUUUAGUAGUUAUAGGUUUAGUAGUUAUAGGUUUAGUAUCUAUAGGUUUAGUAGUUAUAGGUUUAGUAUCUAUAGGUUUAGUAGUUAUAGGUUUAGUAUCUAUAAGUUUAGUGGUUAUAGGUUAACUGGUUAUAGGUUUAGUUGUUAUAGAAUAAUAUUUUCUACUUUUGUAGCUGUUAGUAAAAAAGAAACUUCCAGGCGCUGGAUAUUAUUUUUCCUUGAAACUGUCCUACCACUGGUUUUUGGAGGUAGACCACACAACAAGGUGUUGAAACAGUAAUCUAAUCUGAACUAUAACUCUUGGCCUGUCAGGUUAAAACUUUUAAAGUGUAAGAGAAUCCAUUUGAAAUACUAUAUGGAGCCGAGAGAGAGAGAGAGAGAGAGAGAGAGAGAGAGAGA
rnacentral:lncRNA from 1 species